UCUUCGCUGUGAUUUGCGCUACGUGGUCUAAAAUAUCUUUAUCCGUCUACAACAAGAAGUUUUAAAAUCGUCUUAUCCCCUCCUAACCACAAGUAUCCAUUGGCGAAAUGAAAAAAUUCACUGGUCAUUUCUCAUCUAAAAGCCUACAUCGUUAGCAUUUAUCAAGUCCUACGAAAUACUACGCAUGCGCAAUAUAAUUAACCGGGUUCGGUUUUGAUGGUCCUUAGUGCUCCAUAGGUUACUUCAAUCUUCAAGUUUCCGGGAAAUCCUUCCUCACCAUCUUCACUGAUUCGACUGAAAGUUACCGAAUUCUCGUUCAUUUGAUAGUCCCAUAUAUACUAAAAUAGUAACGAUUUUAUUGAAUUGAUUAAGAAAUAUAAAGUUAAAUAGUAUGAAGUAUGAACAAACCUUAUCAAAUCCUUUCCAACCACCAUGAUUACAAUAAGGUGGAUGAUUUACUGGUACUUUAUAAGUCAAGCCAUCAAUCUCAAACUGACCAUUCAAUAUUCUAUUGGCAACUCGACCAACAGUUACACCAAAAUAAUGGUUAUUUUGAUGAAGGUAGCCUGAUAUUAAUUAAAAAGAUUUAUAGGUACCAUUGAAAUGAUGGAGAAAAGCAAAUCCUGUUCUGUUUAUCAUUGGAAUGAGGUGAAUAUAGUACACAUAAUGUUACAAA